UACGUAGGUGGCAAGCGUUGUCCGGAAUUAUUGGGCGUAAAGCGCGCGCAGGCGGUCCUUUAAGUCUGAUGUGAAAGCCCACGGCUCAACCGUGGAGGGUCAUUGGAAACUGGGGGACUUGAGUGCAGAAGGAGGAAAGCGGAAUUCCACGUGUAGCGGUGAAAUGCGUAGAGAUGUGGAGGAACACCAGUGGCGAAGGCGGCGUUUCUGGUCUGUAAACUUGACCGCUGAGGCGCGAAAAGCGUGGGGAGCAAACAGG
rnacentral:rRNA from 1 species